rnacentral:rRNA from 1 species
UUUGUUGUGGUCAAGUUUUUAAGGGCACACGGUGGAUGCCUUGGCAUCAGGAACCGAUGAAGGACGUGGGAAUCUGCGAUAAGCCUCGGGUAGUCGAUAACCAGACUGUGAUCCGAGGAUUUCCGAAUGGGGAAACCCGGCUGGAGUCAUGUCCAGUCACCCGCACCUGAAUAUAUAGGGUGUGUGGAGGGAACGUGGGGAAGUGAAACAUCUCAGUACCCACAGGAAGAGAAAACAACAGUGAUUCCGUGAGUAGUGGCGAGCGAAAGCGGAACAGGCUAAACCGCAUGCAUGUCAAGCUGGUAGGUGUUGUGUGUGCGGGGUUGUGGGAGUGUGUUCGAUCAGGCUACCGACUGGUCGGGGAGUAAGAAAUUCAUGGCGUAGGCGAAAGGUCUGGAAAGGCCUGGCGUAGAGGGUGUGACCCCCGUAGCCGAAACGUUGUGAUCUCCCUUAUGCAUUUCCCAAGUAGCACGGGGCCCGAGAAAUCCUGUGUGAAUCUGGCGGGACCACCCGCUAAGCCUAAAUAUUCCCUGAUGACCGAUAGCGGACAAGUACCGUGAGGGAAAGGUGAAAAGUACCCCGGGAGGGGAGUGAAAUAGAAUCUGAAACCGUGUGCUUACAACCCGUCGGAGCCUCCUUGUGGGGUGACGGCGUGCCUUUUGAAGAAUGAGCCUGCGAGUUAGUGCUUCGUGGCGAGGUUAACCCGUGUGGGGAAGCCGUAGCGAAAGCGAGUCCGAAUAGGGCGUUUGAGUCGCGGGGUCUAGACCCGAAGCGGAGUGAUCUACCCAUGGCCAGGUUGAAGCGACGGUAAGACGUCGUGGAGGACCGAACCCACUUAGGUUGAAAACUGAGGGGAUGAGCUGUGGGUAGGGGUGAAAGGCCAAUCAAACUCCGUGAUAGCUGGUUCUCCCCGAAAUGCAUUUAGGUGCAGCGUCGCGUGUUUCUUGCCGGAGGUAGAGCUACUGGAUGGCUAAUGGGCCCCACCGGGUUACUGACGUCAGCCAAACUCCGAAUGCCGGUAAGUGAGAACGCGGCAGUGAGACUGCGGGGGAUAAGCUUCGUAGUCGAGAGGGAAACAGCCCAGAUCAUCAGCUAAGGUCCCUAAGCGUGUGCUAAGUGGAAAAGGAUGUGGAGUUGCAAUGACAACCAGGAGGUUGGCUUAGAAGCAGCCACCCUUGAAAGAGUGCGUAAUAGCUCACUGGUCAAGUGAUUCCGCGCCGACAAUGUAGCGGGGCUCAAGCACAUCACCGAAGCUGUGGCAAUCACACAUUAUCCUCCUUUUUGGCAGGGGUGUGGUUGGGUAGGGGAGCGUCGUGUGGCGAGUGAAGCGGCCGAGUGAUCGAGUCGUGGACGCCACACGAGUGAGAAUGCAGGCAUGAGUAGCGAAAGACGGGUGCGAAACCCGUCCGCCGAAUGACCAAGGGUUCCAGGGUCAAGUUAAUCUUCCCUGGGUAAGUCGGGACCUAAGGCGAGGCCGACAGGCGUAGUCGAUGGACAACGGGUUGAUAUUCCCGUACCGGCGCAAGACCGCCCAUAUCGAGGCAGGGGAUGCUAAGCACCCGAAGCCGCCCUCACCACACCUUUGGU